rnacentral:rRNA from 1 species
AAUCAACGCUGGCGGCGUGCCUAACACAUGCAAGUCGAACGCGAAAGGGGGCUUCGGUUCCUGAGUAGAGUGGCGUCCGGGUGAGUAACACGUAGGUAAUCUGCCUUCGGGUGGGGAAUAACCAGUCGAAAGAUUGGCUAAUACCGCAUAAUGCAGCGGCACCUAAUGGUGAUUAGUUGUUAAAGCGGGGGAUCGUAAGACCUCGCGCCUGAAGAGGAGCCUGCGGCAGAUUAGCUAGUUGGUGAGGUAAUGGCUCACCAAGGCUUCGAUCUGUAGCUGGUCUGAGAGGACGGCCAGCCACACUGGCACUGACACACGGGCCAGACUCCUACGGGAGGCAGCAGUGGGGAAUUUUGGGCAAUGGGCGAAAGCCUGACCCAGCAACGCCGCGUGAGGGAGGAAAUCCUUCGGGAUGUAAACCUCACAAGCAAGGGAAGAGAGCUCAGGGCCGAAUAAGCUUUGAGUCCGACGGUACCUUGCGUAAGCC